GCGUCCGUUUCGUUUCAGUCGAUCCCGAACAUCGCNNNNACGGCGAGUUGAGGUGUCGUUCCGCGAGGGGCGUCCCUUSAGUGCGCCCCCCCCCCCCCCCCCCCCCCCCCCCCCCCCCCCCCCC
rnacentral:misc_RNA from 1 species